AUUUUUUUCCUCCCUUUUAGCUCACAGCUUGAAACCAGGUUUUGCAGAAAGGGUCUUGCAAACACUACUAAGUGAUAAAGAUGAUUGUGCUCUCCAUUUGCAGUUCAUGUACUCAUUUAUGGUGAGGCAGAGAAGGGUGGGUUUAGUUUCUUUUCUGUCAGAAGGUUUAAAAAUCUCAAAUUCUUCCUAUCAGAGUUUCCCCAGUCACAAAGCUAUAGAAGUUAAAUAUAUAUAAAAAUAUAUAUACAUGGUCUGUUCUGAAAGUAGUAGGACUCAAUUAAAAAAAAAUUAUUCAUGAGAAUAGAACAAACGAUUAGAAUUUUUCAAAGUAGCACCCUUCUGCAUCUACACACUGCUGCCAACGAGUUUUCCAGUUUUUGUACGCCUCCAGGAACGCCUGGACCUGAAUGCUGUUUAGCUCCCUUGUCACGGCCUCUUGAAGCACCUCUACCGAUGCAUGAUGCUUCCCCUUGAGCAUCGAUUUUAUUCUUAGGAAUAGAAAAACGUCUGGCGGGGCCAAGUCAGGGCUGUAAGGGGGGCUGAGGCAGCGUUGCCACCUUGUGCUGGGCAAGAUACUCCACUAUGCAGAACGCUGUGUGGCUCAGCGCGUUGUCAUGGUGCAGCCGCCAAUUGUUGACGAUGGCUGGGCGGACACGAGCAAUGCAUUUUCACAGUCUUGUGAGGACUUCCACAUAAAAAACUGCAUUAACUGUUUGUCCGGACUUUCAGCUUUGUACUUGCCUAUGCAACUAUCCAAGCACAUCAUCCAAAUGCUGCAUGAGCAAAGAGACAGCCUAUGGAGCAUCCAGUACAACUGCACUGCAUCGAGUGGGACUGAGGACAAUUCUGAAAGAACAUUUCUGAUACUAGGUGUUUCAUGUGCUUCACUCCAGGGCACAUCUGAGCUGUACGGACCAGAGCUGUGGGGCAGCCGGACAGCCACCUCACCCCUCUCUGAGGCAGGAAGCAGAGAAAAGCCAUGCGUCCCACAAGCCCCUCUGUGAAGUCAGUACUCGCCGAGCGAAUACCCACCUCCGUGCCUUAAAUCUCUGAAACCCAGGUGUGUUGU
rnacentral:lncRNA from 1 species